UACAGGGGGGGCAAGCGUUGUUCGGAAUUACUGGGCGUAAAGGGCUCGUAGGUGGCCGACUAAGUCAGACGUGAAAUCCCUCAGCUUAACUGGGGAACUGCGUCUGAUACUGGAUGGCUUGAGUUUGGGAGAGGGAUGCGGAAUUCCAGGUGUAGCGGUGAAAUGCGUAGAUAUCUGGAGGAACACCGGUGGCGAAGGCGGCAUCCUGGACCAACACUGACACUGAGGAGCGAAAGCCAGGGGAGCAAACAGG
rnacentral:rRNA from 1 species